GCCGAGGUGGCGAAACUGGUAGACGCGCUGGUCUCAAAAACCAGUGGCUUCGGUCAUGUGGGUUCGAUUCCCACCCUCGGCACCA
rnacentral:tRNA from 1 species